GACGAACGCUGGCGGCGUGCCUAACACAUGCAAGUCGAGCGGGGUUGAAGCGAGGGGUAACUCGGACUUCUACCUAGCGGCGGACGGGUGAGUAACGCGUGAGCAACAUGCCCUAUACAGGGGGAUAAUCCAGGGAAACUUGGUCUAAUAUCCCAUAGUAUUUAGAGGAGGCAUCUUCUAUAAAUUAAAGCUUCGGUGGUAUAGGAUUGGCUCGCGUGACAUUAGCUAGAUGGUGAGGUAACGGCUCACCAUGGCAAUGAUGUCUAGGGGUUCUGAGAGGAAGGCCCCCCACACUGGGACUGAGACACGGCCCAGACUCCUACGGGAGGCAGCAGUGAGGAAUAUUGGACAAUGGAUGGAAAUCUGAUCCAGCCAUGCCGCGUGCAGGAAGACAGCCCUAUGGGUUGUAAACUGCUUUUAUAUGGGAGCAAUAAGGUCUACGUGUAGACUGAUGAGAGUACCAUAUGAAUAAGCAUCGGCUAAC
rnacentral:rRNA from 1 species